rnacentral:rRNA from 1 species
CCUACGGGAGGCAGCAGUGAGGAAUAUUGGUCAAUGGGCGCGAGCCUGAACCAGCGAAGUCGCGUGAGGGAAGACGGUCUUAUGGAUUGUAAACUCCUUUUGUCGGGGAGCAAACGAUGCCACGCGCGGCGCUCCGAGCGUACCCGAAGUACAAGCAUCGGCUAACUCCGUGCCAGCAGCGGCGGUAAUACGGAGGAUGUGCGGGUUAUCCGGAUUUAUUGGGUUGAAAGGGGUGGCAGGCGGGAGAUACAGUCAGCGGUAACGUUGAGUGGCUCACCCUCUUCGAGCCGUUGAAACUGGUUGUCUGGAGUGAGUGAGAGGUAUGCGGAAUGCGUAGUGUAGCGGUGAAAUGCGUAGAUAUCACGCAGAACUCCAGUGGCGAAGGCAGCAUACCGGAGCGCAACUGACGCUCAUGCACGAAAGUGUGGGUAUCAAACAGGAUUAGAUACCCGUGUAGUC